rnacentral:rRNA from 1 species
CANNNUANCCANGCAUGUCUAGUAUAGCAUUAUACAGCGAAACUGCGAAUGGCUCAUUAUAUAAGUUAUCGUUUAUUUGAUAGUACCUUACUACUUGGAUAACCGUGGUAAUUCUAGAGCUAAUACAUGCUAAAAAUCCCGACUUCGGAAGGGAUGUAUUUAUUAGAUUAAAAACCAAUGCCCUUCGGGGCUCCUUGGUGAUUCAUGAUAACUUCUCGAAUCGCAUGGCCUUGUGCCGGCGAUGGUUCAUUCAAAUUUCUUCCCUAUCAACUUUCGAUGUUUGGGUAUUGGCCAAACAUGGUUGCAACGGGUAACGGAGGGUUAGGGCUCGACCCCGGAGAAGGAGCCUGAGAAACGGCUACUACAUCCAAGGAAGGCAGCAGGCGCGCAAAUUACCCAAUCCCGACACGGGGAGGUAGUGACAAUAAAUACUGAUACAGGGCUCUUUAGGGUCUUGUAAUUGGAAUGAGUACAAUUUAAAUCUCUUAACGAGGAACAAUUGGAGGGCAAGUCUGGUGCCAGCAGCCGCGGUAAUUCCAGCUCCAAUAGCGUAUAUUAAAGUUGUUGUGGUUAAAAAGCUCGUAGUUGAACCUUGGGCCUGGCUGGCCGGUCCGCCUCACCGCGUGUACUGGUCCGGCCGGGCCUUUCCCUCUGUGGAACCCCAUGCCCUUCACUGGGUGUGGCGGGGAAACAGGACUUUUACUUUGAAAAAAUUAGAGUGCUCCAGGCAGGCCUAUGCUCGAAUACAUUAGCAUGGAAUAAUAGAAUAGGACGUGUGGUUCUAUUUUGUUGGUUUCUAGGACCGCCGUAAUGAUUAAUAGGGACAGUCGGGGGCAUCAGUAUUCAAUUGUCAGAGGUGAAAUUCUUGGAUUUAUUGAAGACUAACUACUGCGAAAGCAUUUGCCAAGGAUGUUUUCAUUAAUCAGGAACGAAAGUUAGGGGAUCGAAGACGAUCAGAUACCGUCGUAGUCUUAACCAUAAACUAUGCCGACUAGGGAUCGGACGGUGUUAUUUUUUGACCCGUUCGGCACCUUACGAGAAAUCAAAGUGCUNGNCUNGGGNNUNNNGNNNNNNNNNNAA